rnacentral:rRNA from 1 species
AACGAACGCUGGCGGCAUGCCUAACACAUGCAAGUCGAACGAGAUCUUCGGGUCUAGUGGCGCACGGGUGCGUAACGCGUGGGAAUCUGCUCUUUGGUUCGGAAUAACAGUUGGAAACGACUGCUAAUACCGGACGAUGACGAAAGUCCAAAGAUUUAUCGCCAGAGGAUGAGCCCGCGUAGGAUUAGCUAGUUGGUGUGGUAAAGGCGCACCAAGGCGACGAUCCUUAGCUGGUCUGAGAGGAUGAUCAGCCACACUGGGACUGAGACACGGCCCAGACUCCUACGGGAGGCAGCAGUGGGGAAUAUUGGACAAUGGGCGAAAGCCUGAUCCAGCAAUGCCGCGUGAGUGAUGAAGGCCUUAGGGUUGUAAAGCUCUUUUACCCGGGAUGAUAAUGACAGUACCGGGAGAAUAAGCUCCGGCUAACUCCGUGCCAGCAGCCGCGGUAA